GGAGAGGUGCUGGAGUGGACUAUCAGGCACGCCUGGAGAGCGUGUGUCGCGAAAGCGACCGCGGGUUCGAAUCCCGCCCUCUCCGCCA
rnacentral:tRNA from 1 species